UCAGCUAGCAAGCAUAUGAAGAAGUUAGAUUUGGCAGUGGGUCACAGAGUGGGCCUAUCAGACUGGUCUAAGAGUAUAAAACUCUGCUUCUCCUAAAAGAUAUUUCACACACACACUAUAUACAUACAUAAUAUUUUAUUGCCUUUUCACCUCUUUUUGUCUUCCUUUGCUUUUGAAUCCACAGGACUCCUAAUGAUAAUGAUUUUUUUUUUCCCCCAAGAGCUAACACAGUAUGGGAGAGUGGAAGACAGCCAGUGACAGUGAGGGAAAAUCAGUAACAUUGAGAGGCAGCAGGGACCUAUAUAGGUCAUUAUUAAAUCAUGGACUACCAUUAAAAAUUUAACACUAGUCAAUAAGGAUAUUCAGUAGGCUCCAACCUGCAAACACGCUGUGUGACAUGACACUGUUAAAAUUGUUGCCUGGUAUAAUCUCCUUACUAGACACACCAUAGGAAUGAAGAAGAAAAUAGACUGUGAGCAAUAGGUACUUAGAAAAGCGUUGAAAUUAUUUUCUUCAGGUAAAGACUCUUUUACCAGCACCCUUCCUGUAAUAUUAACCCUUAAGUGUUCUCUAGGGGCAUAUUUCACAAGAAUUUUGUCAUAUCAUCUGGUGGUAAUUUGUCCUGCCUUCCCCAGCACCACAAAAUAGCCAUGGUCUUUGCUUUUCUCUACUGGUUACUUAUGCACUUAGCUCCUUAUUGUUCUAUUUUACUUUCUGUUCUAUUUUCUACCAGAAUGCAAGCUUCCUAUGUGCUCAAAUGUUGGUGAUCGAAGGUAUGGGAAGACAUUACAGUUUUCAAACUUGGACCUGCUUACACAAGUUUUCCAGUAACAAUCACCUGUUUGUUCUUUGUUUGUCCAUGGAAUAUGAAUAUCAUUCUGGAUACCUUCUGCUUGACUACCCAGAUCUGCUUGCCACUCACCUCUAUGCUGCUCUUCAGGAGGCAAACUCCCGUGGUUUCCCUUGUCCUCUGGUUGGGUUGACUAAUAGACAGGAGAUUAACAAGAGAAGAAAAAGGUGAGGGCAGCUUAUUUAUUCCCUGACUGCCUUUGUGCAAGUCAGACUCAUCUUGACUGUUUUUCAACUGAGCACCACUUCUCCUCUCAAGGAGGUCUUUCUCUAUUUCCUUCCUUCCUUCCUUCCUUCCUUCCUUCCUUCCUUCCUUCCUUCCUUCCUUCCUUCCUUCCUUCCUUCCUUCCUUCCUUCCUUCCUUCCUCUCUCUCUUUCUUUCUUUCUUCUUCUUCUUUUUUUUUUUAACAGAGUCUCGCUCAGUCACCCAGGUGGAGUCCAGUGGCGUGAUCUUGCUUCACUGAAACCUCCAACUCCUGGGUUCAAGCGAUUCUCCUGCCUCAGUCUACUGAGUAGCGCACCACAACCCCGGGUUAAUUGUUGUAAUUUUGCUAGAAACAAGUUUUUGCCAUGUUGGCCAGGCUGGUCUCGAAUUCCUGACCUCAGGUGAUCCACCCACUUCAGCCUCUCAAAGUCCUGGGAUUACAGGUGUGAGCCACUGCACCCGGGCCCUUUCCUCUACUUUCUUCUUCUGAACUUUGCACAGGUUCCUCUUUUUGGAAUUAGGGAAGGUAGCAACUCCAAUGCUACUAAACUUUGGUCAUUGAAGUAGCACUUAUGGUUUCCCUACAUACUAAUUAUACUUUUAAAAUACUUCCCUUAUGGAUAAUGAUCAUGACUUCUCUGUUCCCUUUGACUCUGGC
rnacentral:lncRNA from 10 species